AGUGAACGCUGGCGGUAGGCCUAACACAUGCAAGUCGAACGGCAGCACAGUAAGAGCUUGCUCUUACGGGUGGCGAGUGGCGGACGGGUGAGGAAUACAUCGGAAUCUACUUUUUCGUGGGGGAUAACGUAGGGAAACUUACGCUAAUACCGCAUACGACCUACGGGUGAAAGCAGGGGAUCUUCGGACCUUGCGCGAUUGAAUGAGCCGAUGUCGGAUUAGCUAGUUGGCGGGGUAAAGGCCCACCAAGGCGACGAUCCGUAGCUGGUCUGAGAGGAUGAGCAGCAACCAUGGGACUGAUGCGCGGACCAGACCCCGCCUGGAGGCAGCAGUGGGGAGGAGGGGACAAUGGGCGGAAGCUUUAUGCAGUUAUGGUGCGUGGAGGAAGAAGGCCUUAGGGUUCGAAAGUAUUCUCAGCGGCGAGAAAGGGAGUAAAGGUACUACCUUGGCUCAUUGGCGUUAGCCGAAGAAGAAGCACCGGCUCACUUCGUG
rnacentral:rRNA from 1 species